rnacentral:lncRNA from 1 species
UAUCAUAAGGUUAAAAGUUAAACAGCACUGUAUUUUCUCUGCCUUUUAGAAAGGCAGGUUUGCCUAUCUCCGAGGGGCGAUCGGUCGGGGUUGUUUUCUGAAGAAGCCUAUAGGUAAAGAGGCAUCCAUACGUUCACACAGGAGGAUUCAUAAAGGCAAGGACGAGAAGAUAAAGGCAUUAUUCUGACAUGAUGACCCCUGGAAAAUGUCUUUGACUCAUCCCAACCUAAAACCUACAAUGAAUUUACAUCAUCUAUAUGGAGCUUUGGACCAACAGGUUGUUGCCACUUUUGCUGCCUUUGCCUCUGAGAAGUUGAGUAAAUCCUCUGGCCCCUUUCAAAUAUUUUCUCAUCUGCACUGAAUUUCUACUGACAAACCAACUGAUAGAUACAGACCUUAGAAAUAUUUAUAGCCACUGAGUAAGGUUUUCUUUUCUUUUUUUUUUUUUACUUAAUCUGAGGCAAUUAGUUCCUGAAUAAACACAGA